UCGCCCGUAGCUCAGUUGGUAGAGUGGUGGAACGGCAAUCCACAGUCCCGGGUUCAAGUCGCGGCGGUCGCU